GAUGAACGCUGGCGGCGUGCCUAAUACAUGCAAGUCGAGCGAACAGACGAGGAUCUUGCUCCUCUGUCGUUAGCGGCGGACGGGUGAGUAACACGUGGAUAACCUACCUAUAAGUCUGGGAUAACUUCGGGAAACCGGCGCUAAUACCGGAUAAUAUAUUGAACCGCAUGGUUCAUUAGUGAAAGACGGUUUUGCUGUAUCUUAUAGAUGGAUCCGCGCCGCAUUAGCUAGUUGGUAGGGUAACGGCUUACCAAGGCGACGAUGCGUAGCCGACGUGAGAGAGUGAUCGGCCACACGGGAACUGAGACAGGGUCCAGACUACUACGAGAGGCAGCAGUAGGGAAUCUUCCGCAAUGGGCGAAAGCAUGACGGAACAACGCCGCGUGUGUGGUGAAAGUCUUCGGAUCGUAAAACUCUGUUAUGAGUGGAGAACAAAUGUGGAAGUAACUAUGCACGUCUUGACGGUACCUAAUCAGAAAGCCACGGCUAACUACGUG
rnacentral:rRNA from 1 species